rnacentral:rRNA from 1 species
CAGAGGUCCCAAGCGUUGUUCGGAUUUACUGGGCGUAAAGGGAGCGUAGGUGGCAUUCUAAGUCUGAUGUGAAAGCUCUGAGCUUAACUCAGAAAUGGCAUUAGAUACUAGUUUGCUUGAGGAUCGGAGGGGAGAUUGGAAUACUUGGUGUAGCAGUGAAAUGCGUAGAUAUCAAGUGGAACACCAGUGGCGAAGGCGAAUCUCUGGACAAUUCCUGACACUGAUGCUCGAAAGCUAGGGGAGCAAACGGGAUUAGAUACCCCGGUAGUCCUAGCUGUAAACGGUGCACGCUUGCUGUAGGUGGAAUCGACCCCGCCUGUAGCGAAGCUAACGCGUUAAGCGUGCCGCCUGGGAAGUACGGUCGCAAGAUUA